rnacentral:ncRNA from 1 species
UUCGUUGUUCAGUCUAUUAUUAUCUGAGUCGCUCUUCUACAACAUUUCAAACGGCUACACUUACCCGUUCUCUUCGUGUUGGACUUUUAUUAAGUGUCAUAGGGAGCCAGGACUUUUUACUGUGAAAAUGUUCAAUGCAGAUAUACGCUCGAAUAUAUUAGCAUGGAAUGAUAGAAUAGGACGUACGGUUCUGUUUUGUUGGUUCUCUAUGACCGUCGUUAUGAUUAAUAGGGACAGUCGGGGGCAUCAGUAUUUUAAUGUCAGAGGUGAAAUUCUUGGAUUUAUUGAAGACUAACUACCGAGAAAGCAUUUGCCAAGAAUGUUUUCAUUAAUCAAGAA